UUUCCGUAGGUGAACCUGCGGAAGGAUCAUUAUUGAAUGAACCUGAUGUGGUUGUAGCUGGCCCUUUCGGGAGCAUGUGCACACCCGUCGUCUUUAUCUUUCCACCUGUGCACCUUUUGUAGACCUGGAUGUAACACUUUCCGAGGCAACUCGGUCGGGAGGAAUGCUGUCAGCUUUCCUUGAAUGUCCAGGCCUAUGUUUUCAUAUACCCCAAAGAAUGUAACAGAAUGUAUUAUUGGGCCUCGUGCCUAUAAACUAUAUACAACUUUCAGCAACGGAUCUCUUGGCUCUC
rnacentral:misc_RNA from 1 species